CUGGCUGUAAACGAUGGGUACUAGGUGUAGGAGGUUUCGAUACCUUCUGUGCCGGAGUUAACGCAUUAAGUACCCCGCCUGGGGAGUACGUUCGCAAGAAUGAAACUCAAAGGAAUUGACGGGGGCCCGCACAAGCGGUGGAGCAUGUGGUUUAAUUCGAAGCAACGCGAAGAACCUUACCAGGUCUUGACAUCACCUAGCAAGCCAUGGAAACAUGGCCCUCCUUCGGGACUGGGUGACAGGUGG
rnacentral:rRNA from 1 species